rnacentral:rRNA from 1 species
AUUGAACGCUGGCGGCAGGCUUAACACAUGCAAGUCGAGCGAGCGGCGGACUGGUGAGUAAUGUCUGGGAACCUGCCUGAUGGAGGGGGCUAACUACUGGAAACGGUAGCUAAUACCGCAUACCAUCAGAUGUGCCCAGAUGGGAUUAGCUAGUGGGUGGGGUAACGGCUCACCAAGGCGACGAUCCCUAGCGGGUCUGAGAGGAUGACCAGCCACACUGGAACUGAGACACGGUCCAGACUCCUACGGGAGGCAGCAGUGGGGAAUAUUGCACAAUGGGCGCAAGCCUGAUGCAGCCAUGCCGCGUGUGUGAAGAAGGCUUUCGGGUUGUAAAGCACUUUCAGCGGGGAGGCGUUACUCGCAGAAGAAGCACCGGCUAACUCCGUGCCAGCAGCCGCGGUAAUUC